UACGGAAGGGGCAAGCGUUGUUCGGAAUCAUUGGGCGUAAAGAGCGCGCAGGCGGUCGUGUAAGUCGAACGUGAAAGCCCCCGGCUUAACUGGGGAGGGUCGUUCGAUACUGCUCGACUUGAAGGCAGGAGAGGGAAGUGGAAUUCCCGGUGUAGUGGUGAAAUGCGUAGAUAUCGGGAGGAACACCAGUGGCGAAGGCGACUUUCUGGCCUGUUCUUGACGCUGAGGCGCGAAAGCUAGGGGAGCAAACGGG
rnacentral:rRNA from 1 species